AACGAACGCUGGCGGCGCGUUUUAAGCAUGCAAGUCGAACGGUAGAAAGGUGCUUGCACCUUUUGAGAGUGGCGAACGGGUGAGUAACACGUAAGUAAUUUGCCUGGGAAAUUGGGGAUAGCCUGUGGAAACACAGGGUAAUACCGAAUACGCCUUAUAGUAGGGAUACUGUAAGGGAAAGGGGCUAAGGCCUCGUUUCCAGAUGAGCUUGCGGUUCAUUAGCUAGUUGGUGGGGUAAGAGCCUACCAAGGCGACGAUGAAUAGCCGGCCUGAGAGGGUGACCGGCCACACUGGGACUGAGAUACGGCCCAG
rnacentral:rRNA from 1 species